rnacentral:pre_miRNA from 1 species
UACGUACUCCCUCCGUUCGGAAUUACUGGUCUCGAAAAUGGAUGUAUUUAGAAUUAAAAUACGUUUAGAUAUAUCAUUUUUUCGAUAAGUAAUUCCGAACGGAGGGAGUACGUA